AAGUACCAAAAAAUCUCCUCUCUAUUUCAGACAUUUGUUUUCCAGCAGAAUUUCCUCAGAGUGGAUAUAUGUCGACAGCUCUGCAAGCAAAGAGAUUAAAAGCAAAUCACAUUCUAGGACAAACAAUGCAUACUCCAACUCUACACCAGCAAAACUCUGGUACCAUAAUCUAGCUGCUCUUCAUAUUGCGUCAAAUCCGGUGUAUCAUGAAAAAACUAAACAUAUUGAGGUUGAUUGCCAUUUUAUUCGCGAGAAGAUUCCGGAAAACAUGAUUUCCACUGGCUACGUGAAGAGAGGAGGGCAACUAGCUGAUUCUGUUCACAAAAAUGUUGAAUGGAACUCGAGUUGAUUAUCUUUGUAACAAGCUACUAUAAAGCUAUAUGUUUUCUUGUAUAUAAUAUUCUAGCUGAUUUCUAGGGAUUCAGAUAUCUAGUUACCUUAGUUAGCCUUUUCUUUACGUGUACUUAAAUCAGUGUAUUCUUUGGAUAAUAUACAAAUACAAGCUAUACUCUUAAACUUCAUUCUUUGAUAUAUAACAAUAGCUGAUUGCAUUAUGUCUGCAUUCAAAAUUAUGUAGCAAAAGAUGCAAGAAUUAAUACAAAUUAAGUUUGUUAUAAAAGUCUAUCACAUACCUUUUUAACAACUUUGGCAGAGCAGAAAGCAGUGAUCUAGGGUUCAUCAAUUUGUUCCACAAUUUUAACCAAAAACAACUAAAGUGGACUUGCUUUUAUAUGUGUGUUAAUCAUGGAAUACUUUUGAGAUUACUUAAUAUAAAGUAUAAUGAAACUAAAAAUUACAGAUAAAUGAAGACUAUAAAAUGAUGCAGCUUGAUUGUUUCAUUCUGGCCACUGGUAAUGGAUAAGAAAUGAUUUGUUUUCCUCUGUUUCAAUUUGUUUGGCCUAUUUUGAUAUGACGUGAAGUUGUAGAAAGUGAAAAAGACUUUUGAAUCUUAUGGUCUUAAACAUGUCGUGUGGAAAGUUGAAGUUAAAGAGUCGCUAAAAAAAGAAAGGGUCGUUCUUUUUUAAACAGACUAAAAAAAAAAAAGUAGGUUAAACAUAUUAAAACGGAGGAAGUAAUUGAAAGUCUGAACCUACUAAAAAGAAAAGUAGGUCAUGAGUCGGUAUCAUAUUAAUUAGAUCAUUGAAAUAUCUCAUGAUUUACGGAAGAAAGUCCUCAUUUGCUGCUACCAAUUUCACCACUUUGUCAAACAUCAUUUAAUUGGCAAAGAAAAGUCAAAUAAGACAUUUGCAAGUUAGAUAUUAUUCUUGUCAUUGAUUUCACUCAUGAAAUUAUUCGUGUUAGAAAGCAGAAUGAGGUAUACCAUAUAGACUGUAUAAAAAAAUAGUCUGAUAAAAAAAAUAGAGCGUUAGCGAUCAUCUCUUAUCGGAAAAGGUCGGAAUCUAAGUCAAUGAUGAAGCAGAAGGAUCCUAACUCAUUAGCUCUUAAGCUAGCCAAGUCUCUUGGCUCUGAUCAGCUAGCUGCUGCACUUCAUCCUGACAACAAUUGGCCUAAAUUAUUACUCCCUCCGUCCCAUUUUAUGUGGCAACAUUUGACCGGGCACGGAGUUUAAUAAAUAGAUAAAGACUUUGAAAUGUUUAUCAAAUUGCCCUUCAAAAAAAUAGAUAUAUUUUUCUCUCUCCUAAUAAAUGUAUUGGAGUACUCUUUUCAAGAUUAAGUGGGACCAACAAGGGUAAAAGAGAAAUUAUACCUUUAAAUACUUACCAAAUAAGGAAAUGUGACAUUCUUUUUGAGACUGACCAAAAAGGAAAUGUUGCCACAUAAAAUGGGACGGAGGGAGUACCAAUCUUUUAUAGGUGUUUCAGUACUCACUACAAGAAAAUGUACAUACGACAUUAAUUUAGUGACAUUUGAAAUAAAUGUUGGAAAAUAAAGAAUUUUACGAUAUUUAGGAACAAAAUGUCAUAAAACAAUGACAUUUGAUGUCAAAUGUCGUAAAAAUAAUGACAUUUGGUAUCAAAUAUCAUAAAAAUAAUAACAUUUGGUCCAAAAUGUACUAUGAUAAUGACAUUUAUUGCAAAAUAUCGUUGUUUUUAGCGACAUUUAGCAAAAAUGUCAUUUAAAUGAUGACAUUUGCUACAAAUGUCGAAUAUAAUAUGACAUUUAUUACAAAAUGUCAUUGGUUUUAGUGACAUUUAGAAAAAAUAUCGCUUAAAUAGUGACAUUUAAUAUAAAUGUCGAAUAUAUUAUGACAUUUACUGCAAAAGGUCAUUGAUUUUUAGUGACAUUUAGAAAAAAUGUCACUAAAAUAGUGACAUUUGUUGUAAAAUGUCAUUGAUUUUAGCGACUUUUAGCAAAAGUGUUGCUAAAGAAGCGACAUUUAAUACAAAUGUUGAAUAUAUUACACUAGUAGAAUUUCGUUUGCAAAAUUGUUGCUAAAAUAGUGACAUUUCAUACAAUUAUCGAAUAUAUUAUGACAUUUAUUGCAAAAUGUCAUUGAUUCGAUCGACAUAUAGUGAAAAUUUCGCUAAAACAGUGACAUUUUUAUACAAAUAUCGAAUAUAUUAUGUCAUAUGUUGAAAAAUGUCAUUGAUUUUUAUGACAUAUGAUGAAAAGUACUGUUAAACGACUACAACAUUUUAUGUCUACAACCACCCUAGAAAAGUGUAGCCUUUGAUAAAAGGCCACACUUUUUGACUUUAAGCCACGCUUUUCCAGGGGUGGCCGAAAGAAGCAUAACCUUAGAGUUUAGGCGACACUUUUCAAGUGUUGCCUUAACAGCUACGCUUAAAAGCAUAGCCUAAAAGGCAGAAAGGCCACGCUUUGCAGUACCUCAUAUAGCUUAACAUUUCUAUCUCAUACAACUACACUUUCAAGGGUGGCCUUUGCUUCCUUAUUGCCCACGAUUUUAAAGUGUUGCCUUUUCUAUCUUAUGUAUGACAACACUUUGAAGUGUAGUCCUUGCUCAUGUGCAUACCACAAUUUACAGUUAUUUGGCUGCACUUUUAAGUAUGGUAAUAUUAUUUUUACUAUAAAAUAUUUAUAUGCCACAAUUUCUAAUUAAAAAACAUCAAUAUUAUUUUGCAAUAAAUAAUCUCAAACACUAAAUUAGCUAAUAAGUAAUUCAAAUAUAUAGAUUUGUAAUAAACUUCAAAAGAUAGUAUGUCUUGUGUACAUACACAUACUUGUUUGACAGAGAAUUUAAACUAGUUUGUUGAAUUAAUCCAACACAUUGACACUGAAGCAAUAGUCCAUUACAUUGAUAUAUUACACCCUAUAUUCCUAAACACGUUGAAUGGUUCCCUGUAUCUAGACGUGAAAAUAUCCAUUAUGAUGUAUUCAAAUUGUCUCAUUGAACUAACUACAUAUCUGAAGCUGUCUCACUGCCAGCAAAAUGUGUACCUUGUACUCUUUGCUUCAAGUAGUAUGAACCAUGUCUAUUUGACCCUAUAAGUAAUAUGAACUAUGUCUAUUUGUAUAAUUUUCACUCGAACCCUAAAGUACUUAGGUCCAAUAAACACAUUCAUCCUAUGUGGUGUCCUGUAUGAUAAUUUUGUGUCCUAUGUGACGUCCUACAUGUAUUAUGUUGUAGGACGUAUGAGUCAACUUGUUCAAUUUUAUACAAGUUGAAGUGUCUAUUUGUGCAUGCCAAAAAUUGAAGGACAUAUAUGUCAGAUGAAUUCAAAUUUAAAAACAUAUUUAUGUAUUAUGUCAAAUAUUAAUCUAAAGACAUCACAAAUAUGGCCGUGUAAGAUGGUAAUCGAUCCGUUAUACCAACACCAAAUGAACAGAAGGACAAAUUUAGAUGUGCAUGAAAUACUUUUAAUUAAUGGUGAAAGAUAUAUACAAGUGAGUAAGCAUACAUGUGAUCUACACUCUAACCAAAAAGAGCAAUUAUUUUUUGUUGUUGUCAAAAUUAAUCCUCCAAUAAUUCCUUUCAUCUUCAAAAAUUACUUUCACUUUGCAAUUUUUUUCUUGUCUUCAAAGCAUACUGCUUAAAAAUAUAGAGAGAAGAGCUAGUAUUGAUCACUUUGCUAUAGUCUGUCUAUAGUUUCUUUCAAUUGAGUACUAAACAAUGACUAAAU
rnacentral:lncRNA from 1 species